GGCAUGGUGGAGUAGAAAGAAAAGCUGAAUUAAAAAAAAAAAAAAAAAAAAAGAGGUAAAGACUUAGAUUUGCUAAGCUGCUGAAGCUAAAGCAUGGAAAGUAGAUGUGUAUGUAUGUGUGUAUAUAUAUAUAUUUCUGUUACAGAGGUACUUUGCUGCUCUGUUUUCAUCCAGCACCGGUUGGAAACUACUGGCAGUCACAUUCUCUAGUACAACUAUGAAGAGGAGAAACUGCAUUAAUGUCAAGCUAUCAAAUUCUGACUUUCCUGACAAGACAGGCAUUUUUUCCAAAUGUCCUGCAUGUGUUUUGAGUGUCAGAGUAUGUACAGACUAGUUAAAGCACACUAAACUAAAAGUAAAAGCUCUGGCAACGUAAACUGGAUUGAAUUGUCUUUGAAGGCUACUUUAAACUUCGUAAAGUAAUGCUCAUAGUUAGAACUUACUAGAGUGGGGAUUUUCCUGACAGUGAAAUAAAUCAAUAAAUAGAUGACACAUCUUUGGAAACUUUAUUCAUUAAGCUAAAAAAAAAAAAAUUGAAAUGCAUGUGAAAGGCAGGGGGGAUAUGAAGCUGAAAAAAUUCAUCAGGCUCCUUGAAAAGAAAGCAGGGCUUUCUGGGCAAGCAAAAUGAGAACCAGCAAACAACAACAACAACAAAAUCAGUGUUAUUUGACUCUUGAGAAAUUUGGAAUCAAACCAAAGUUCAAAUAAGCUCUGGGCUGUCUUACUGACUUUCAAGUCAAACUGUUCAAUGGCAUUGAUAUAUUUCCAUAGAAAAUGCAGUUACACUGAAUGAGUGUUUUCUGAGAUAAGCAUUUUUUUGACAGUAGACCAUUUAUGUAUUUUCUCCCCCCACAAGACCCACGACCAUUUAAAAGCACAGACAUGAAUACUGCUCAAAAAAUAUACACCUGUUCAGUACUUCGUUGUCACUGAAAGCCCUAUUUAAUACGUUCUAUUCUGACCCCAUUUUGGAUGCAGAAUGAAUAACUAGUGAGUUUUUUCUCUUUCUUAGGGUAACUUAUGUUGCAUUAAGAAAAUAUAUAUGAAGACAGGAUGUUAUUCCAGGCCUGAGAACUCUGGCAGGGCUGGAAUCAAUUGAAAAUACAGUCCUGACUUCCUCAAUGCACAAGCCAGUGGAAAUCUAAAAUAACCUCUGGGGAGAGAAAAUGGAAGUUUGUGGCUUCGACAACUGAAAGAAAGUACCUGAAGGUCGAUGCCUUGCAAAGCGGAUUCUGGAAGUGGUGCUUUGGAAACAAAGCAGAAAGCAUUAGCAUAAUAAGAUGUGUACCACUAGUGAAGUUCAAGGGUGACACAAGUUUUGGAAGUAUGAUAGUUGCUGGAAAAGAGAAGAUUACUGACGCAAGAUGAUCUGAGUUGGUUGUUAUGCUGAAAAGAGCAAGGAAAUCUGUGUUUUAUUGUGAAUUGUUUCCUGUAGUGAUAAUAAUGCAAUGUGCAAAAUUUUAGUAAGAGACUCCGUGCCCUAAAGAUUGUACCUUUGAAGUACACAAGAAUGGUAAAACGUGGCAGAAGGGAAGAACUGUUAUAUUUACAGGAAACUGAAGCUCAGAGAUUUUAACUUUUUCUAAGAUCAGGCAGGAGGCUGACUCUCUGGAUCAAGGUGAAUGUACAUUUAAAAUGCACGAUUGAUUAUUUAAGGAAUCUGUGAGACUUCUGGAUUCUGUACACAGAAUGAGAAAGUGGAAAAGCAACUAUUGCAUAUACAUCCCAUUUUACCCUCCAGAGCUCUCCCAUUGAUUCAAGGAAAACUGAUUGAAGAAAAUGUACUCAUUAUGCAUGGACAAAGCUUGUAGAAAGAAAUAAUAGGCUCUUGAACAGCUGAGAAGGAAGUUCUAACCUCAGAGUACCACGAGAGGUUUUUUGAGGCAACCUCAUUAUCCUUCUAAGGCUGGAACUGCAACCAGGAGUGUUGAUCCUUUCAUCUUGCAACAUGUAAGCUAUCAAGAGCUCUGCAAAUACUUGAGACCAAACUGACCUUUGGCCUUGGAAAAGCCUGAGUUCUGGGCUUGCUUGAUUGUGGAGAGAUUGGAAAUGUAGGAGAAAAGGAAACACUGGUUUGAUAGGUCACUCUGUCAUUUUACCUUCUGAAGAUCACCUUGGAAAGAACAAUCAAGCAAACAACUGGUCUGGGAGAAGCAAGUGCUAAAGCUGUGUACUUUUUAAACUGUGAGGAGAGAAUUUAUGUGAACUUUUAUUUAUUACUUAUCACCUAAGUCUUGGAGGUGAUUUGAAGCAGAAGGAAGAGGAAGGAAAAAAAAUAGAAGAGGGAUUAUUUGAAGGUGAUGGAGUUUCUGAACCUGAUUAGAGAGCGUUCUCUUGCUGCCAACUCAUACAGGAUCUUUGUCUCCUUUGCUGUUUCAGAAGAUGCUGUUCCAGAGACAGGGCUCCUAGAGUUUUGUGGAAGGGGAAGUUCCUGAUGCCCGCUGUCCAAGACUUUCUAGACCAAGUGAGAAGAUUUUCUUGUUCAGACUGGUGAAGAGCUCUGAAAGUCAUCAUCACCAUGCCAUCUGGCAAGCUGUACAUUUAUAUACUGAAAGGCCACACUGUCAAAUCUCCCAGAAACCUUCUCUUCUCCAGGCUGCACAGCCUCAGCUCCCUCAGCCUGUCCUUGAAGGAGAAGUGUUCCAUCCUUCCAUCCCUUGGAUCAUUUUUGCAUCCCUCCUCUGGAUGGACUCCAACAGAUCCACGUCUCUCCUACACUGAGGACUCCACAUCUGGAUGCAGUACUCCAGAAACAUGUCUUAUGAGAAAGAAAAAAACCACAACACUGCAGAGCAUCCAAAUCUCCUUUAAAGAUGCAGUGAUUUCCAUCAAAAGCUGUUAAGAAGAUUUGGAAAGAAAACGAUGGAACUUGCAUUUUAAUCUCACAAGCUGGCAAUAGGUUUUAAACAGCAUUGUAUGGUUGGACUGUUUUAGCCAGAGCUGCUGAAGACUACAGAAAAACAGAAGGGAACACGGAUCUGAGUUACUGCCCUUUUAAUAAGAGAUCAAGCUUCUUUAAAGCCACUCUAAUUUGUGAGCAGAGAUCAAACACUUUGCUUAAGAUAAUGAGUGUAGUAAAUUUGGGAAAAAUGCUUUGAUUGCUCAGCAGUGCAUGGCUUUCUUUUUCUAAAAGAAAUGAUGUCUCAGAG
ensembl:lncRNA